GUACGAGUACAACUUGGUUGGCAUCUGAACUUGCUGACAUGUAAAAGGCUACUGUGCCUUUAAAAAACUUAUGGGUAGUGGUUUUGAUGAUUAGGCUGCUGCUGAAGGGUCUGCUGCAGAUUUUGAUGGUAAAGAACGUAUGCUGCACACACAAGAUGUGCACAGACAGGUUAGUUUAUAUCUCCAUCGUACUAAGACUUUUACAAAGUCAGAUCAUUUGUUUAUAUUUUUUAUCCAAAAAAGGGGCAAUCAGUGUCUAAAGUAAUCCAAGAUGGUUUGUAAAUGAUUUUGUUUGUAUAUGAUUCACAAGAUAUGCGUGUACAUUCAAAGCCCAAGGCGCAAGAGCUAUGGCAACCUCAACAGCUUUUCCUCAACGAGUACCUGUCAGUGACAUGUGCAGCAGCAACUUGGUCCUCUUCUCGUACUUGGUAUCUCAUUACAAGUUGGAUGUGCAGUCCAGACCCUGAACAUGUUUCAGCUCUGCCAUACUCAGGAAUAUCACAGAAAGAAUGCUCUGAUUUGUAAAUUGAACCAAAAAGUCUUUUAAUGUACACAUUAAAAUAACAUACAGUGAUGACUGUUUUUGUGUCCUGAAAUUGAAACCUUCACCACAAUUUCCCUGUGAACUAAAGCCUUUUUAAAUAUGCAACAAAUAGAUUAAUGGAUAAAUUGG